rnacentral:lncRNA from 1 species
CUAAAUCCAAACUUUUGCCGCUUAACUGAAGCCAGAUUUGCUUGCGCCAUUCCAUCGCGGCCACGUAUCCAAACUCGACCGGUGCUGGCUCUAUAGCGCUCCUUCCACUGUGAUAAGGAUAGCCACGUGCAACUUCCUGCUUCUUCCGAACCAUACACGACGAGUAUUCCUGGCCCUAGCAUCUUCCCUGUAACGCUUGCCUCACUUCGUCUCUCCCAGCCACCCUCUAAUUUUCUUGUCGCGGACGUCUCUUUCACUGCUCAUCCUUCUUCUUCCGGCCAUCAGUCUCACCGCUCGCCUUUAGCUCUUUUACUCUCCAGCAACCGUCUCCUGCCAUCAGCCAGGCGUGCGCAACUCAUACAGCAGCAGUUCCAACGAAGCACAUCAGUUGUGCGGUCGUGCCUUAACGUUGGACCUCCACUUCCACUCCCUCUCUUUGGUCGAGCUUCACCUGUUCGCCGAUCUGGCUGCCCGUCGUCCUCUCCAUGUCCCGCGCCUUGGUCCGGUCUCGGCUGCUGUUAACCAUCGCGUCCGGACAUCAGUGCAUGUCACCUUCGGUUUCUCCCUGCCCAUUCCAUGUCAUGGUAGGCUUGUAUCGGCCAUCGACCCCACGCUCAUCCUCGCAACCUCACUGCAACGUCGUCGUUCUCCCAGUUCUGCGCGAACGUCUGUGGUAGCGGUGGCUGGUAUGGUUGCUUGUUUGAAUGUAUGCGUAGUUCUGAGAGAGUCUAGAGACUUUGCAUUUCAUGUCCUUACAUAAGCAUCCAUGUAUUUGCAAUUGACUUGUAGAACACCUAGAGAAGAAGCGGUUUCUGAAGAAGGAGUUCACUUCAGAGCCUAUUGAUCCAGUGGUGGAAUCCCAUCUAACUAAUUAUCAUGAUAGAAAGGUUUUGGAUCUUCUCUGCAACAAGGCAAGCCCCGGUGCAUUUGCCACCUCCCUUGUGUUUACAAAAUUUUAUCACUUAUAUGCUGCAUUAGAUGAUAGGAGUUGAUUGAUUAAACACUUGAUGCAUUACCAUCCUUGAAAAAUUGAUUACCAUACCUUGUCACCUAUUUUAUAAAAGCUAGAGAUGCUUAGUCAUGCUGAUAGACUAAGAAAAAUGUUUUUGAUCUAUGACUCAUGUUUUUACAAAAAAGAAAAUGGGCUUGGGAUAAUGAAGGCAUCAAGACGUUGAUAAAUUCAUUAUCCAGGCAUGGCCCCUCUGCCAGGCGCCAAAAUUUUGAAAUAGUUUAAAAUGGGACCAGACGCUGAGCAGGAAAAGUCGCCCGUCUGUGUCGAUUAAGGAUCGUACCGAUUGUUGGCCUGCUGAUCUAGGACCCUUUAUCUGGCCACAUACCUCGUCAUGGGUAAGCCUGAACCCGGCUAAUCCAUACAUGAAAAGACAAUCGCGCACUGGGAGUGGAGAGAUGGCGAGAGUGGCACGUACCCUCCUGGCAAAGGACCGCCUAAAAGGGGUGGUGUGCUCUCGGGUGGCGCGGACCUGUUCAUGUGGUGGAGGAUCCGUGGGAAUGGUAGACAUGUGCAAAAGAGUUAAGGCAAGCAUAUGUCGUGUGGUUGGAGAUCCCCAGCUGGGUAUUAAUCGAUUCGGAUCGCCGAACUUCUCGGAUAUGAAGACUGAAUCUUCGACCUUCAUCGUAGAUAACAAGCGAAACAAAAUUUGGAUUUUAAAAGCAACCUAGUGUAGGUCAAGUGAAUGAUCUAGAUUAGGCAAAUGCUAGAUUCAGGCUAGAAGAUUCAGGUAAUAAACUAACUUUUGAAAUAAAACUUGGCUUAAGGACCCACUUCUAGUAAGCUUUUCUGCAAAAUGAGUCCUUGAACUUUGAUGAGCUUUACCUUGAUUCCCAAAAGCCAGCAUACCCUUGAGAGUCUUUUCCUUAGUCGGGUAAGUCUUGCUGAGUAAUUGCAUACUCAGGGUUUUAUCCCUUGUUGUUUUUGUAGGAGAAGUUUUAUUCCCUUAUCCUUUGGGUAGUUACUUCAUGUGGAGGACUUGAAGCUUAGAAUGUUUUUAUAUAUCUCUUAUGGAAAGGCUUCACCCUUCCAAUUAUUGUAAUAAGUUAUGCACUUCGAGUACUAUCAAGACUUGUAAUAAAUACAUCUCUUUCUACAAUGUAAAACUUGAGUUUUGGAAUGUAAAGUGUACUUUGUAAAAGUCUUCCGCUCUAUCUCCAAUGUGUGUGUAUCAAAUGUGAUUACUGUAAUAUACCUGUUAUGUGGGAGAUCCU